rnacentral:rRNA from 1 species
GGUGUGACUGCGUACCUUUUGUAUAAUGGGUCAGCGACUUAUAUUCUGUAGCAAGGUUAACCGUAUAGGGGAGCCGAAGGGAAACCGAGUCUUAACUGGGCGUUAAGUUGCAGGGUAUAGACCCGAAACCCGGUGAUCUAGCCAUGGGCAGGUUGAAGGUUGGGUAACACUAACUGGAGGACCGAACCGACUAAUGUUGAAAAAUUAGCGGAUGACUUGUGGCUGGGGGUGAAAGGCCAAUCAAACCGGGAGAUAGCUGGUUCUCCCCGAAAGCUAUUUAGGUAGCGCCUCGUGAACUCAUCUUCGGGGGUAGAGCACUGUUUCGGCUAGGGGGCCAUCCCGGCUUACCAACCCGAUGCAAACUACGAAUACCGAAGAAUGUUAUCACGGGAGACACACGGCGGGUGCUAACGUCCGUCGUGAAGAGGGAAACAACCCAGACCGCCAGCUAAGGUCCCAAAGUCAUGGUUAAGUGGGAAACGAUGUGGGAAGGCCCAGACAGCCAGGAUGUUGGCUUAGAAGCAGCCAUCAUUUAAAGAAAGCGUAAUAGCUCACUGGUCGAGUCGGCCUGCGCGGAAGAUGUAACGGGGCUAAACCAUGCACCGAAGCUGCGGCAGCGACACUAUGUGUUGUUGGGUAGGGGAGCGUUCUGUAAGCCGUUGAAGGUGGCCUGUGAGGGUUGCUGGAGGUAUCAGAAGUGCGAAUGCUGACAUAAGUAACGAUAAAGCGGGUGAAAAGCCCGCUCGCCGGAAGACCAAGGGUUCCUGUCCAACGUUAAUCGGGGCAGGGUGAGUCGACCCCUAAGGCGAGGCCGAAAGGCGUAGUCGAUGGGAAACAGGUUAAUAUUCCUGUACUUGGUGUUACUGCGAAGGGGGGACGGAGAAGGCUAUGUUAGCCGGGCGACGGUUGUCCCGGUUUAAGCAUGUAGGCGGAGGUUCCAGGUAAAUCCGGUACCUUUUUAACGCUGAGGUGUGAUGACGAGGCACUACGGUGCUGAAGUAACAAAUGCCCUGCUUCCAGGAAAAGCCUCUAAGCAUCAGGUAACAUCAAAUCGUACCCCAAACCGACACAGGUGGUCAGGUAGAGAAUACCAAGGCGCUUGAGAGAACUCGGGUGAAGGAACUAGGCAAAAUGGUGCCGUAACUUCGGGAGAAGGCACGCUGAUAUGUAGGUGAAGCCCCUGCGGGUGGAGCUGAAAUCAGUCGAAGAUACCAGCUGGCUGCAACUGUUUAUUAAAAACACAGCACUGUGCAAACACGAAAGUGGACGUAUACGGUGUGACGCCUGCCCGGUGCCGGAAGGUUAAUUGAUGGGGUUAGCGGCAACGCGAAGCUCUUGAUCGAAGCCCCGGUAAACGGCGGCCGUAACUAUAACGGUCCUAAGGUAGCGAAAUUCCUUGUCGGGUAAGUUCCGACCUGCACGAAUGGCGUAAUGAUGGCCAGGCUGUCUCCACCCGAGACUCAGUGAAAUUGAACUCGCUGUGAAGAUGCAGUGUACCCGCGGCAAGACGGAAAGACCCCGUGAACCUUUACUAUAGCUUGACACUGAACACUGGUCCUUGAUGUGUAGGAUAGGUGGGAGGCUUUGAAGCGUGGACGCCAGUCUGCGUGGAGCCAACCUUGAAAUACCACCCUUUAAUGGCUGGUGUUCUAACGUAGACCCGUGAUCCGGGUUGCGGACAGUGUCUGGUGGGUAGUUUGACUGGGGCGGUCUCCUCCCAAAGAGUAACGGAGGAGCACGAAGGUUAGCUAAUCCUGGUCGGACAUCAGGAGGUUAGUGCAAUGGCAUAAGCUAGCUUGACUGCGAGAGUGACGGCUCGAGCAGGUGCGAAAGCAGGUCAUAGUGAUCCGGUGGUUCUGAAUGGAAGGGCCAUCGCUCAACGGAUAAAAGGUACUCCGGGGAUAACAGGCUGAUACCGCCCAAGAGUUCAUAUCGACGGCGGUGUUUGGCACCUCGAUGUCGGCUCAUCACAUCCUGGGGCUGAAGUAGGUCCCAAGGGUAUGGCUGUUCGCCAUUUAAAGUGGUACGCGAGCUGGGUUUAGAACGUCGUGAGACAGUUCGGUCCCUAUCUGCCGUGGGCGCUGGAGAAUUGAGGGGGGCUGCUCCUAGUACGAGAGGACCGGAGUGGACGCAUCACUGGUGUUCGGGUUGUCAUGCCAAUGGCACUGCCCGGUAGCUAAAUGCGGAAGAGAUAAGUGCUGAAAGCAUCUAAGCACGAAACUUGCCCCGAGAUGAGUUCUCCCUGAGACUUUAAGUCUCCUGAAGGAACGUUGAAGACGACGACGUUGAUAGGUCGGGUGUGUAAGCGCAGCGAUGCGUUGAGCUAACCGAUACUAAUGAACCGUGAGGCUUAACCUU